GACGAACGCUGGCGGCGUGCUUAACACGUGCAAGUCGAACGAAGAGCGAUGGAAGCUUGCUUUUAUAAAUCUUAGUGGCGAACGGGUGAGUAACGCGUAAUCAACCUUCCCUUCAGUGGGGGACAACAGUAGGAAACGACUGUUAAUACUGCAUACGUUCUAAUCUCGGCAUCGAGGACAGAUGAAAGGCGGGCUCUACAUGUACGCUAUCAUUGAAGGCGGGGGUUGCGUCUGUUUAGUUGGUUUGAGGGGUUCCGUGCCAUCAAGGUGAUGCUCAGUAGCCGGUCGGAGAGGAGGAGCGGCCAGAUUGGGACUGAGACGCGGCCCAUUCUCCUACGGAAGGCAGCAAGGAUGAUUCUGCCGCAAUGGAUGAAAGUCUUACGGGGCAACGCCGCGUGAGUGAUGACCACCUUCGGGUUGUAAAGCUCUGUUAAUCGGGUCGAAAGACCUUCUGGCGAAUAGUGAGAAGGAUUGACGGUACCGGAAUAGAAAGCAACGGCUAACUACGUG
rnacentral:rRNA from 1 species